rnacentral:rRNA from 1 species
UACGUAGGGGGCGAGCGUUUGUCCGAAGUUACUGGGCGUAAAGCGCGCGUAGGCGGCUACUUAAGUCUGGGGGUGAAAGGUUCAGCGCUCAACGUGAACAGUGCCUUGGAUACUGGGUAGCUUGAGUUCGGGAGAGGGCAGUGGAAUUCCUGGUGUAGCGGUGAAAUGCGUAGAUAUCAGGAGGAACACCGGUGGCGAAGGCGGUUCUCUGGGCCAUUACUGACGCUGAGGAGCGAAAGCGUGGGGAGCGAACAGG